GAGAGGUGCUGCAUGGCUGUCGUCAGCUCGUGUUGUGAAAUGUUGGGUUAAGUCUCGCAACGAGCGCAACCUCUAUCGUCUGUUGCCAGCAUUAAGUUGGGCACUCUGACGAGACUGCCUGGGUUAACCAGGAGGAAGGUGGAGAUGACGUCAAGUCCUCAUGGCCCUUAUGUCUAGGGCUACACACGUAAUACAAUGGCGCGUACAGAGGGAAGCGAACUCGCGAGGGGGAGCAAAUCUCAAAAAGCGCGUCUCAGUCCGGAUUGGAGUCUGCAACUCGACUCCAUGAAGUUGGAAUCGCUAGUA
rnacentral:rRNA from 1 species